rnacentral:rRNA from 1 species
UGCAGUCGAACGAUGAGCCCUUCGGGGUGGAUUAGUGGCGAACGGGUGAGUAACACGUGGGCAAUCUGCCCUUCACUCUGGGACAAGCCCUGGAAACGGGGUCUAAUACCGGAUAUGACCGUCUUGGGCAUCCUUGACGGUGUAAAGCUCCGGCGGUGAAGGAUGAGCCCGCGGCCUAUCAGCUUGUUGGUGAGGUAAUGGCUCACCAAGGCGACGACGGGUAGCCGGCCUGAGAGGGCGACCGGCCACACUGGGACUGAGACACGGCCCAGACUCCUACGGGAGGCAGCAGUGGGGAAUAUUGCACAAUGGGCGAAAGCCUGAUGCAGCGACGCCGCGUGAGGGAUGACGGCCUUCGGGUUGUAAACCUCUUUCAGCAGGGAAGAAGCGCAAGUGACGGUACCUGCAGAAGAAGCGCCGGCUAACUACGUGCCAGCAGCCGCGGUAAUACGUAGGGCGCAAGCGUUGUCCGGAAUUAUUGGGCGUAAAGAGCUCGUAGGCGGCUUGUCACGUCGGGUGUGAAAGCCCGGGGCUUAACCCCGGGUCUGCAUUCGAUACGGGCUAGCUAGAGUGUGGUAGGGGAGAUCGGAAUUCCUGGUGUAGCGGUGAAAUGCGCAGAUAUCAGGAGGAACACCGGUGGCGAAGGCGGAUCUCUGGGCCAUUACUGACGCUGAGGAGCGAAAGC